GACGAACGCUGGCGGCGUGCUUAACACAUGCAAGUCGAACGGAAAGGCCCUGCUUUUGUGGGGUGCUCGAGUGGCGAACGGGUGAGUAACACGUGAGUAACCUGCCCUUGACUUUGGGAUAACUUCAGGAAACUGGGGCUAAUACCGGAUAGGAGCUCCUGCUGCAUGGUGGGGGUUGGAAAGUUUCGGCGGUUGGGGAUGGACUCGCGGCUUAUCAGCUUGUUGGUGGGGUAGUGGCUUACCAAGGCUUUGACGGGUAGCCGGCCUGAGAGGGUGACCGGCCACAUUGGGACUGAGAUACGGCCCAGACUCCUCCGGGAGGCAGCAGUGGGGAAUAUUGCACAAUGGGCUGAAGCCUGAUGCAGCACCGCCGCGUGCGGGAUGACGGCCUUCGGUUUGUAAACCGCUUCCGCCUGUGACGAAGCGUGAGUGACGGUAAUGGGUAAAGAAGCACCGGCUAACUACGUG
rnacentral:rRNA from 1 species